CGUGAGGGAAAGGUGAAAAGAACCCCGGGAGGGGAGUGAAAGAGAACCUGAAACCGUAUGUCUACAAGCAGUCGGAGCGAAAGCGACGGCGUGCCUAUUGAAGAAUGAACCAACGAGUUACGUGCACUAGCGAGGUUAAGUGGAAGACACGGAGCCGAAGCGAAAGCGAGUCUUAAGAGGGCGAAUAGUUAGUGUACGUAGACCCGAAACCGCAGUGAUCUACCCAUGUCCAGGUUGAAGCGCAGGUAAAAUUGCGUGGAGGACCGAACCUGUGAGCGUUGAAAAGCUUUAGGAUGAGAUGUGGGUAGAGGUGAAAUUCCAAUCGAACGCGGAGAUAGCUGGUUCUCCCCGAAAUAGCUUUAGGGCUAGCCUCAAGUAGUAAGUAUAGGCGGUAGAGCACUGAUCGGGCUAGGGGCCAUAAAGGUUACCGAACCCUGUCAAACUCCGAAUGGUUAUACUGUAGAGCUUGGGAGUCAGACUACGAGUGAUAAGAUCCGUGGUCAAAAGGGAAACAGCCCAGACCACCAGCUAAGGUCCCCAAUGUCGUACUAAGUGGAAAAGGAUGUGGGGUCUCUAAAACAACCAGGAUGUUGGCUUAGAAGCAGCCACCAUUUAAAGAGUGCGUAAUAGCUCACUGGUCGAGAGACCCUGCGCCGAAGAUUACCGGGGCUAAAGUACGAAACCGAAGCUGUGGCUACGACGUAAGUCGUGGGGUAGGGGAGCGUUCUGUGAGGGCUGAAGUCGUUCUGUAAGGAACGGUGGACUUCACAGAAGUGAGAAUGUUGGUAUGAGUAGCGAAAAGAAUGGUGAGAAUCCAUUCCACCGAAAGCAUAAGGAUUCCUGGGCAACGAUCGUCGUCCCAGGGUAAGUCGGGACCUAAUCCGAGGCAUGGAGCGUAGGAGAUGGACAACUGGCAGAUAUUCCAGUACCGGUAAUGAUUGUUUGAGCGAUGGAGUGACACAGGAGGGCAGGCAGGCAGGAGAUUGGUUGUUCCUGUACAAGCGUGUAGGAUGGGUUGUAGGCAAAUCCGCAACCUGUGAGUCUGAGGCGUGAUGUGGAGGUUCCGGAAACGGAACCGAAGCUGCUGACCCCACACUGUCGAGAAAAGCUUCUAGUUAGAGAAUUACCGCCCGUACCGUAAACCGACACAGGUAUGCGGGGAGAGAAUCCUAAGGUGCGCGGGAGAACCCUCGUUAAGGAACUCGGCAAAAUGUACCCGUAACUUCGGGAUAAGGGUAGCCGCUGUUGUGAAGUCUGUACAGAUGGAGCAUGAGGCGGUCGCAGAGAAGAGGCCCAAGCGACUGUUUACCACAAACACAGGUGCCUGCUAAAGAGAAAUCUGACGUAUAGGUGCUGACACCUGCCCAGUGCCGGAAGGUUAAGGAAGGAUGUCCGGAGCAAUCCAAAGCAUUCGACCGAAGCCCCGGUGAACGGCGGCCGUAACUAUAACGGUCCUAAGGUAGCGAAAUUCCUUGUCGGGU
rnacentral:rRNA from 1 species